CCUACGGGAGGCAGCAGUGGGGAAUAUUGCGCAAUGGGCGAAAGCCUGACGCAGCGACGCCGCGUGGAGGAUGAAGGUCUUUGGAUUGUAAACUCCUGUUAAGCGGGAAGAAAAGCUUACUAAUAAUAAGAGUAAGUUCUGACGGUACCGCUAGAGAAAGCACCGGCUAACUUCGUGCCAGCAGCCGCGGUAAUACGAGGGGUGCUAGCGUUAUUCGGAAUCACUGGGCGUAAAGGGUGUGUAGGCGGCUUAUUAAGUCUGCUGUUAAAUACCCCGGCUUAACCGGGGAACAGCGGUAGAUACUGGUAGGCUAGAGAAUGGAAGAGAGAAGUGGAAUUCUCGGAGUAGCGGUUAAAUGCGUAGAUCUCGAGAGGAACACCGAUGGCGAAGGCAGCUUCUUAGUCCAUUUCUGACGCUAAAGCACGAAAGCGUGGGGAGCAAACAGGAUUAGAUACCCUGGUAGUCCACGCUGUAAACGAUGAUCACUGGACGUUAGUCCUGCUUGCAGGAUUAGUGUCGAAGCUAACGCGUUAAGUGAUCCGCCUGGGGACUACGGUCGCAAGAUUAAAACUCAAAGGAAUUGACGG
rnacentral:rRNA from 1 species